rnacentral:rRNA from 1 species
CUUUAUGCAUGCAAGUCGAGGGAGAACCAUCCGUUCCGUAAGGUUUGGGUGGGGAAACCGGCGAACGGGUGCGUAACACGUGAGGAACCUGCCCCGAAGACCGGGAUAGCCCGGGGAAACCCGGAUUAAUACCGGAUACCCUCUUUAGACCGCAUGGUCUGUUGAGGAAAUGGUCAGCCGCUUCGGGAUGGCCUCGCGGUCUAUCAGCUAGUUGGUGAGGUAACGGCUCACCAAGGCUAAGACGGGUAGCUGGUCUGAGAGGACGAUCAUCCACACUGGGACUGAGACACGGCCCAGACUCCUACGGGAGGCAGCAGCAGGGAAUAUUGCACAAUGGGCGAAAGCCUGAUGCAGCGACACCGCGUGCGGGAUGAAGGCCUUCGGGUUGUAAACCGCUUUCAGGAGGGACGAAAAUGACGGUACCUCCAGAAGAAGGCCCGACCAACUACGUGCCAGCAGCCGCGGUAACACGUAGGGGCCAAACGUUGUCCGGAUUUAUUGGGCGUAAAGGGCUCGUAAGCGGUUCAACAAGUCGGUCGUGAAAACCCGGGGCUCAACCCCGGGACGCCGGUCGAAACUGUUGUGACUAGGGUCCGGUAG